rnacentral:rRNA from 1 species
AUUGAACGCUGGCGGCAGGCCUAACACAUGCAAGUCGAGCGGUAGAUGCUUUCGGGCAUUGAGAGCGGCGGACGGGUGAGUAACGCGUGGGAAUCUGGCUCUUAGAGGGGGACAACUUGUGGAAACGCAAGCUAAUACCGCAUACGCCCUAAGGGGGAAAGCAGGGGAUCUUCGGACCUUGCGCUAAGAGAUGAGCCCGCGUCUGAUUAGCUAGUUGGUAGGGUAAAGGCCUACCAAGGCGACGAUCCGUAACUGGUCUGAGAGGAUGAUCAGUCACACUGGAGCUGAGACACGGUCCAGACUCCUACGGGAGGCAGCAGUGGGGAAUAUUGGACAAUGGGGGCAACCCUGAUCCAGCCAUGCCGCGUGUGUGAAGAAGGCCUUCGGGUUGUAAAGCACUUUAAGUUGGGAGGAAAGGGUACUGGCUAAUAUCCAGUAUCUAUGACGUUACCAACAGAAUAAGCACCGGCUAACUCCGUGCCAGCAGCCGCAGUAACAC